CGUAUUCGUGAAUAGUGCCGUAUACGUGAAUAGUGCCGUAUACGUGAAUAGUAACUCCGACACCAAAAGAUAGAAAUUUCACAAAAAACAUCUUCACGCUUCGUGAAUAGUACUCAUGAAUAGUAACUCGUGAAUAGUAACUCAUGAAUAGUAACUCGUGAAUAGUAACUCAUGAAUAGUAACCCCGACAUGAAAAAGUUCCAAAUUUGAUAAAAAUUUCCAACCAAUAUUUCGGCAUAAUG
rnacentral:lncRNA from 1 species